rnacentral:rRNA from 1 species
UGCAGGCCAUGCCGCGUGUGUGAAGAAGGCCUUCGGGUUGUAAAGCACUUUCAGUUGUGAGGAAAAGUUAGUAGUUAAUACCUGCUAGCCGUGACGUUAACAACAGAAGAAGCACCGGCUAACUCCGUGCCAGCAGCCGCGGUAAUACGGAGGGUGCGAGCGUUAAUCGGAAUUACUGGGCGUAAAGCGCACGCAGGCGGUUUGUUAAGCUAGAUGUGAAAGCCCCGGGCUCAACCUGGGAUGGUCAUUUAGAACUGGCAGACUAGAGUCUUGGAGAGGGGAGUGGAAUUCCAGGUGUAGCGGUGAAAUGCGUAGAUAUCUGGAGGAACAUCAGUGGCGAAGGCGACUCCCUGGCCAAAGACUGACGCUCAUGUGCGAAAGUGUGGGUAGCGAACAGGAUUAGAUACCCUGGUAGUCCACACCGUAAACGCUGUCUACUAGCUGUGUGUGCCUUUAAGGCGUGCGUAGCGAAGCUAACGCGCUAAGUAAACCGCCUGGGGAGUACGGCCGCAAGGUUAAAACUCAAAUGAAUUGACGGGGGCCCGCACAAGCGGUGGAGCAUGUGGUUUAAUUCGAUGCAACGCGAAGAACCUUACCUACACUUGACAUGCUGAGAAGUUACUAAAGAUAGUUUCGUGCCUUCGGGAACUCAGACACAGGUGCUGCAUGGCUGUCGUCAGCUCGUG